rnacentral:rRNA from 1 species
UACGAAGGGGGCUAGCGUUGCUCGGAAUUACUGGGCGUAAAGGGUGCGUAGGCGGGUCUUUAAGUCAGAGGUGAAAUCCUGGAGCUCAACUCCAGAACUGCCUUUGAUACUGAGGAUCUUGAGUUCGGGAGAGGUGAGUGGAACUGCGAGUGUAGAGGUGAAAUUCGUAGAUAUUCGCAAGAACACCAGUGGCGAAGGCGGCUCACUGGCCCGGUACUGACGCUGAGGUGCGAAAGCGUGGGGAGCAAACAGG